rnacentral:rRNA from 1 species
UGCGUAGGCGGAUUAAUAAGUCAGUGGUGAAAUCUUUCGGCUCAACCGAGAAACUGCCAUUGAUACUGUUAAUCUUGAGUUCGGUUGAGGUAGGCGGAAUGUGUAAUGUAGCGGUGAAGUGCUUAGAUAUUACACAGAACACCAAUUGCGUAGGCAGCUUACUAGACCGACACUGACGCUGAGGCACGAAAGCGUGGGGAGCGAACAGGAUUAGAUACCCUGGUAGUCC